GCUAAAAACCAUGGUCUGAAGCAAAAAUGUUAUGGAAGUUAGCAUGGCCCCUGCGCAAGGAUGACACGCAAAUUCAUGAAGCGUUCCAUGUUUUU
rnacentral:snRNA from 1 species